UUCGUAAGAAGAGCCUCAAGACAGGUGUUGCAUGGCUGUCGUCAGCUCGUGUCGUGAGAUGUUGGGUUAAGUCCCGCAACGAGCGCAACCCUCAUCCGAUGUUGCCAGCGUAAAGUCGGGAACUCUUCGGAAACUGCCCGUGUAAGCGGGAGGAAGGUGGGGAUGACGUCGAGUCAGCAUGGCCCUUACGCCUGGGGCUACACACAUGCUACAAUGGACGUGAACAAAGGGCAGCAAUACCGCGAGGUGGAGCGAAUCUCAAAAAUACGUCCUCAGUUCGGAUUGCAGUCUGCAACUCGACUGCAUGAAGUCGGAAUCGCUAGUAACCGCAGGUCAGCUAAACUGCGGUGAAUACGUUCCCGGGCCUUGUACACACCGCCCGUCACGCCACCUGAGUUGUCUGCACCCGAAGCUCGUGGCCCAACCCGCAAGGGGGGGAGCGAUCGAAGGUGUGGGGAGCGAGGGGGACGAAGUCGUAACAAGGUAGCCGUAUCGGAAGG
rnacentral:rRNA from 1 species